rnacentral:lncRNA from 1 species
GGCCAUGGAGAGACCACGGCAGGCACUUGCCCAUGGGAGAUGCAGGGGAGCUCGACUGGGCGCGGUGAGCUCCAGGGCGCGCGGUGCGGCAACAGAGCCGGAGCUGAGCGCACGCAGGGGAGAAGGAACGGCUGGGAGGAAGAAGCUUGGGGAGAUGGGGAGGAGAGAGGUCCGCGCGUAGCCAUGGAGUUGGGCAGAGCCGAGCAGGGACAGGGUAGAAGGAACCGCUCGACAGGGGAGAGGAGAGGAUAAAGCCAAGCGCCUGAAGGAGAACGUCGGCGAGAUUUUUCUCCGUGCGGCCAGGAAACUCCACGGCGGGGAAAAAUCCACAGAGAUGGCUGAACAAAAAUCAGACGAGAACAACGGUUCAAAAAAUCGGAGGGAGGACGGCUGCAGAGGGCGCUCGGCCAACUAGGAGCUGGAGAGAGCGUCACGAGGAAGAUAGGAACAGAGACACGUAUGCGAGGGGAUUUUAGAGAUAAGGAAGAUGGCGUUGAGAAGAUAGAUGAGAAUCAGGGGCGGUGGCUUAUGAGAUAUUUUCUUUUUCUAUUUUUUUUAACAAAAGUGAAAUACAGAUAUUUUAGCGAUAAACAAAGUGUCGAUACGCUAUACGGAAAACGGCUACACACUCUAAUUGCCGAAUCACGAAGCGAAAAAUCAGAGGAAUAACAACUCAGACGGUUCGGUCCGAAUCUCCUUUGGAUAACUUUCGUGACUGUUCCGGCCACGAUGUAAACGGACCAGAUUGAAACGAGUUCGGCUUCGGUAUUUUAAUCUGCAUUUGAUUCAGUUGACUCCAGAUGAUUUCCGUUCGCUACUCGAACACUCGACUAGAGGACAAUUCAAUUAAAAAUCUGUAGACGCGAUGUCACGGAUAACAAAAAAAGAGACUAAAUUAUUUUACACUGAAAUCUUAGUCGUCGGGUUCUUCUUAAUCUAUUCGGGACAAAAUCAUCCGAGUGUGUCGGGUUUCCGAAUUCGUAUUUGCGCGAGCGAUGAAUUUUAAAUAAUCACCGGACGCAAUGAUCUUUGGAACAACGAGGUUCCAAACUUCACGAAAAUUUAGGACGAGCCCGAAAAAAAAUGAUGUCGAACUCGCGACAGCUGAAACAGAUGCGAUAUUAAAAUCGCGAUAGAUGAAAAUGAUUAAAAUUUAGCAUCUGUUUUAUCCACUGAUAUUACGUGCUUAAAUCCAUACUCGUUGUCGAGUGGAAUAUAAACACCUGGGGUGUUACAACCCUUCCCCCUUAAAAGAAUCUCGUCCCGAGAUUCGGAACGAAAGACUUCUAAGAGUAGAGCAGCAUGUAACCCAUUUCCUUAUCAGCGAUAAUCGUAAGGCAGUUUUGAGCGAAGGCAAGUGUCUCAGGAUGUUGUUUCCCCUAGUGGACAUAACAUGUAUCGACAUAAGCCAAUUUAGAAAUGUCCAUUAGUAGAGACAACAUCAGCCAGAGGAACACAUAAGGUUUCAUGUGUGCAGUUUGCUUUUUCUGAUGAUACUAUACUAUCUGAGUCUGUUGGGCGAGCAGUAGAUAUGCGACUUUACCCAAACAGAAUCAGAUGCAACCUCUUGGGUAAAACACGCAGAAAUAGGUUUACCAACAAGUGGUUACAGUAAGUUCAUAGCACACGAGACGGAUGUGAAUGUCGAAUAACAUCACAGUUGACCCGUGGCUAGCCAGAAAAUCCAAGUCCCUGAAAGGUGAUAUAGAUUCGAGAAAAUUACCAAUGGAGGGAUCUGUAGAUACGGACUUUACAACCAGUCCAUUUUAUCCAGCACUAGUCACAGCUCGACUUGAUCACACAUGCUGGAAAAGCAUACGUGAGGCGAUUGAGGCACGACUAGAGCGAUGAUUAGGUGGUUAUUGGUCGACUUAACUUAACUUUUGUGAGUACUUUCUUUAGAGUGGGUUAGACCAAAGUGAGUUCAGGCAAAUCGAUAAAACAAUCUCUAAACUCAACCUUUGUUUCAAAUGCAGUUACAAGUUAGUCAAAACCAACAUGUUGAACUACUUUUGACAUUGAGUAAGUCCUCUCAGUACCAUCGGUAAGCCAAGGGUUGAGAGUUUACUCAUAUUAACAGUUGGUCAUGCAUUUGGGCAGGAAUCCAUUUGGUCUGGUCGUUCAUCUGUUUCUUCUAUACGAGAUGAACUGACUUGGUCCAGGAAUACAUGAAUUAAAUAGGAGAGCAAAUGAACAAACUCCUGCAUUUCAGCAGCAGGGGAAAGUCAAUCUCCAUUUUGAGAGCUAAUCAGUUGCCUCUCGACACUAAAAAGCUCCAAGGUUUCACCUUUACACAAAGGAUGUAAAGGAAACUUGUAUGAGUAGUCACUACCAAGAUCAACAGAAAAGAGACCACAAAUGAAAGUGGUAUGCCCUUUUGAUCCAACAAAGACGAUAGAUGUUGCUUGGUCACUUCGACAAACAACACCGAAAUUGUUUCAAGGAAGAGAUCUAUGGAAGAUAAUAUAUUAGUGUAGUUCCACAAUGGAUCAUGACUAGAGACCUCGAUACCAGCAUGCGCCAAGCAGCAUAACCUUGCGUGUACAUUCACAAGGGGCUCUCAGUUUCGCUACGGCACCAUAAGUCCUGAAUCAUGACACCAUCACCGAACUGGCACCAAUAAUGAACCUCACGUAGCAAAAACAGAUUGUGCUAAGAUAACACCUUGAUAUAGUCUCAUAAUGGAUUACAACUACUAACCAUGAUACCAGCGUGUGCCGAGCAGCACAACCAUGUGUGUACAUUCACAGGAGGCCCUCGGUCUCAUCGCGGCACCAUUGGUUUUAGUCAUAACACCAUUACCAGACGUAACCAAUAAGAAAUCUUGCGCAACACAAAUGGAUUGAGCAAGGGUGACAAUAUACAAAGAGACUCUACCUAUCAAAACGGUUACAAGUAGAAAGCCACAUAGAUCAUGGCCCGAUGAAAUGAACAAGACGUGGCCAUAACCUAAACUUGAUAAAAGGAGUAUGAUGGGAGACUGUAAGUUCAGCCCCAAGCAUAUCUCUAUGCCCAUCGCAGAGAGUACAAGGGUCAAGGAUUAGUAUCUGAUUAGAUACAGAGGGGAAACAAUCAUAAGAUUAAGUUGGUAUGCCUUCGAUAGGUAUGGGGAAACCAAAGGCAUCAAAUUCAAGAAAAUGGUCGGACAUACUUUUCCUAGGUUGGGUUGAUAAUUCAACAUGGCGAUCCUUAAGAACAGGCGAACUCGUUAAGGUACAUCAGCUUGCACCAAUAAACAAGGGAAUGGUUUUAGAAGGAAGCAUGACUCGAGAUUCUUGUUUAAGCCUAGGCACAAUUUAUGUCCAACAAAGAAAUUAUCUACGCAUUUAUUUGCAUGAGUUUAGUCAUGGAGUGAUAACGGAGAAUUCAACUAUGGGGUCAUGGUUCACUAAAUAAGAACAUGGCCUAAUUUUGGGUUUAAGCAACCAAACUACCAACCUUCUAUCAGCACAUCAAGCACGAGAGCAAACACCAUAUAAGACCUGAAUAUGUUACCUAAAGAAUGGAGGACACCUAUUUCAUCGAAGUUCAUAAUUCAGCAUUACACCAUAUUAUCUACAAUCAAUGGUUGCUGGAAUAAAGAUGAGAGAAGCAUUUUGGGUGUAUAGGUGACAAACAUGAUGCAACAAUCAGGAUGCAUGCUCGUCCUACACGUCCUCACUGAUUUUGCCAACAUAAUGUGGCAAUAACGUUCUAUACCGGUGGCAUACUUACGAUUCUCACGGUAUUUUACUAGUCGUCAGCUACACAUACAUUUUCGAGGUUAGUGUACCUGCAGAAAAUCCAUCACAGCCCAAUUUCCCAUGAUGCAAUUCACACAUGACAGUUUAUCACAGUUUAUACUCCAUAUAUUGCUAUAUGGAGGCCAGCUCAUCAUUAAGCGCCGAGCCACGCAUAGGCGCUGUUGCCACACUUUAACCAUAGGGCAACUCAUUAUGGUAACUAACCUUCUUACCUAAGCGUAGGUGCGUCGUUACAAGUACAUUACACUUCUCAGUAUUCCCAUGUCUGUAUACCCAUACACACACAUGGGGUACUGAAUUCCCAGAAAAGUAAUUACUCCACAUCGCAGCCUUCAUAUAUACAUAUGUGGAAUAUGUAUAUAAUCAAGCGCUUUUUACACUCUUCCCUAGACCGACGUUUGUUCGGUCAUGCUCUCACAUCUCACCUUACCUUGAGCGUCGAUCCAUUCAAAACUGAAUGGCCUCAAAAAUAACAAUACACAUGUAUGCAAUACCCACCCGGUUAUGGGUUAUGGUUUUCAACUAAGCCACCUAAUAGUCCUUAGUUUAGGGCUUAACAGAGGAUGUCGCUAGCAUUAUAGUUUUUCAAAACUGUUUUUCAAAGCCAAACAAUGUGUUUAGUUGAAAAUAGGUUUUCUAAAACCAAAACUUUUGUUUUUAAAAUAUGUGUGUGACUGUAUAUACUUAAUCCUGCUCCGAUACCAGCUGUGGCAGAACCUCCCAAGUUAUUGGGCCCACAUGCACCUGUCCUUGUCUCAAAGACCUCAGACGACUAUGCAUGUGCACCAAAUAACUUAACAGGAUCCGUCCGAUUGCCCCAAGGACAUCGGAUAAACCACUUACAACCAGAACCGCGGAAUUAAGUAACACAAAUCACACACACAACAUUUUUGUAGCGGAAAUCUUAUUAUCAAAUUUUACAGGUUACAAAAAUUUUACAUUAUUUUAUCGGAGUGAUUACAAAUGUAUAAGUUUGAAAUAUAUGCUAGCUCAAGUGAUCAUCCUCAAUAAGAAGAUAAAGACGGGGUAUACUUAUAAAAGAAGGCCGAGCCCACCGGCACUUAACACCAUCACAACAGCACAAGGUUAGAACCUGAAAAACAACAGGGAAUAAAACCCUGAGUAUGGAAUUACUCAGCAAGUCUUACCCGACUAAGGAAAAGACUCUCAAGGGUAUGCUGGAUAAAUAGGAGUCAAGGAGAGGCUUUAGCAAAAAUCAACUUAUACUUUUGCAGAAGUAGCUUACUAAAGUGAGUCCUUACUUUCAAUCUUUUAACGCCAUAUUAAGUAUUAAUAGACUCGAUUUGCAUCUAGUCUAAUUUCACAUCUCAUCAAUACAACAUCAUUUUUAUCCAUAGUGUUCACAUCCUGACUUUAGGUUGCAGGGAAGUGACCAAGUCUUCAUAACCGCGAAGGUACGGCGAUCCGAAUCGAUUAUACUCAGCUGAGGAUCUCCAAUCACACGACAUAUGUAGCACUUAACCCUUGCAUAUGUCAACCCGCCACCGGGGUUCUUAAGACCAGAUCAGGUUCACGCAAACCGAGAGCACAGAUACACCACCGUCCAGCCUCUUGCCACGGAGGGUACACGCUACCCUCGCCACCGCUCCACGCCCAUUUCGUGUUAUCUUAUUCUGGCCUUAGUCUGCCCGAGGCAAGACUUACCCAUGAUGAGGCAUGUCACCAGUUAAAGGGUCCUCGGUCAGCACGCCUACAUACGCGUUAAUCCUUAACCAACCUGGGUAGAACAUCACCUGUUCCUAACCCAAGUCUCAAUUUAAGCAUUUCCAUCCUUAGGAUUGUGUCUGUUCCUUAAGAUGAAAGAGCAUCACAGGGAACUUUGCAGUAAGAUCCCACUAUUGCUCCAAAUGAAAAUAUUCUUGCAGGUAGAAGCCAUCCUCUCCCGGGUUAAAUUGAGGACAACCUCUAUCCACAAGAUCUAAGCAAGGCUAAGCAUUUUUGUAAAUCAUAAUUUUGAUACUUCACAGAAGUAUCUAUAAAGGUAUGGAUAUCAAGGAAAGCAAUGCAUCAAAGGGUUUCAAGUAACUCCUAUGAACCUAAUGCACAUUUCACUAGACUUAAGUGUGUAAAAAGUAUUUAAAACACAAGGAAAGGGGUUGCAUGCACCGGGGCUUGCCUGGGUAACACUAGGUUAGUGUUGUUAGGCGACGACCACUUGACGAGUAUCCCUCGAUUGAGCACUUGCUUGAUUUAACCAUCUUCAGGUUGGUCCAUCAGCUUCAUCUUGCGGAUUAGCCCGUGCUUGAGGUCGACUUGGCUCAUCUUCGGAAUCACGUGAUUAAUUAACGUACCUGAAUGAAAUGCAUUAUGCAUAUGAAUGCAUAUAAACAUGAAUAUUACAAACCUAAAUAGUGCUAUGCGAUAGCGAAUUAAACACCUAAGGGCGAGUUGUUGUACAAUAUUACACGAAAACACUAGUUAUUACUAUACGACUACGCGCAAUAAUUACGGUUCUCUAAAUUAAACGAACCUAACACAAACAUCGCAAACACACCAUACACUUAAAAUAUAAUUAGCCUAGACACGACUCAUCAUCUACAUUAUUUUUAACUUAGCUGGAUUGAAUCCUAACAGAGACAAACUUAUCGAUAUUAUUUUCUUUCACUCAUUUCGGCAAUGCGAGAUAUUUAUCUAGGGCAUUUAAUUGAUCAUUAACAAAGGAUAUCAUGACUAGAAUAAACUAACUAAUUAUACAGGGCACCGACCAUAUCAAUUAAUCAAAUUGACAUAACGACACUAGAAAAUUCUAUUAACUAGCUAAUAGGAAUACUAAACUUAUUUGUAUUUCUUUCAUCAUCAGCUCACCCGAAUAUUACUUAAAUUAAUCUAUCUUUCACAUUACUAACUCUAUCGUACUGCACAUAUAUUUAAUUAACGUUUGAACUAUUCUAAAUAAUUCAUCAGCUUACCGUUUUAACAGCUGACAUGAAUCCGUGAGAUCGAUAGCGAUUUUCCGAUCCAGGCAAUUUGUCGAGCACUUGGCAGAUGCCACACGAACUUCACGCCGCUAGCCUCGUCUUCAUCUGAUUCUUGGGUUUUCUUGGGGAUGCAUGAACGACGACGACCUUCGAUUGAAGUCUGGGGUAAGCUGGUGAGGUGGGGAUUGAGCCGGGGUUGACGUGUUUGACGACUCGACGGCAAACGACGAGAUCGACGACGCGAUUGGGAAUUAAAGUUGAGCGAGCCGAGAGGGCGUACCGGCGAGCAGAAAACAGGACGCGACGGCGGGCAGAGGAGAACUUGGCACGACGUGGGACAACGAAACGCUGCGCGCACGACGAGGAAGCAGAAAGCCAUGACAAGGGAGCUCGGCAUGGGCAGCGGGACACGACCGAUAAGCUGAAGUAGGAGCACAACCAUGGCGAGCAGAGGAUCCACUCGCGUGGUCCUGUGCACGCGGCUGGGCGAGCAGGGCGUGGCCGACGCGCAGGGAGCAGGGCGCUCAGCGCGCGGCAGAGAAGAGGGAGAAGUAAGGCGCGGCACCAGGAAGCUCAGCCACCAGCAGAAGGAACCGCCAUGGCGACCAAGCAGAGAAGGAGCUCCGCGAGCAGGCGGAUUGGCGCGCCAGGGAGAAGGAGAGCGGCUGGGCGCGAUGAAGGGGCUCGGCUGGGCGCAGGGAGGAGCGCCGGGCAGAGGGAGCUGGGGAAGAGAAGCCGAGGCGCGAGCGGCCGAGCUGAAGUCGGGCGCGCAAGGAGCUGCAGCCGGCCAUGGAGAGACCACGGCAGGCACUCGCCCAUGGGAGAUGCAGGGGAGCUCGACUGGGCGCGGUGAGCUCCAGGGCGCGCGGUGCGGCAACAGAGCCGGAGCUGAGCGCACGCAGGGGAGAAGGAACGACUGGGAGGAAGAAGCUUGGGGAGAUGGGGAGGAGAGAGGUCCGCGCGUAGCCAUGGAGUUGGGCAGAGCCGAGCAGGGACAGGGUAGAAGGAACCGCUCGGCAGGGGAUAAAGCCAAGCGCCUGAAGGAGAACGUCG